UUUAUAAAGAGUUUGAUCCUGGCUCAGGACGAACGCUGGCGGCGCGCCUAACACAUGCAAGUCGAACGAGCGAGAGAGAGCUUGCUUUCUCAAGCGAGUGGCGAACGGGUGAGUAACGCGUGAGGAACCUGCCUCAAAGAGGGGGACAACAGUUGGAAACGACUGCUAAUACCGCAUAAGCCCAC
rnacentral:rRNA from 1 species